AACUGAGAUCUGCUGGGACUCACAGUCACACCAACUACAACAACAAACACAGCAGGGAGCUCAGAGCUGCAGAGAAAUGACACUCAGCUUAGUUGGAGCUUUGAUGAACGCUCUGCUGUGGGAAGCAGCAUCUGUCAACGUUUACACACCAACACACAUCCAGCAGACGGGACUCACCCAGCAGCAUCUGGACAGAUGUUCCCUCCAUUCUGCAGCUGCAGGACAUCAGACCAUUAUUAAAGAAGUGUCAGAACUGUGAUGGUUCCUCUGAGGUUGGUUGUUACUAUGACCUCUCUGAACAAACCUUGUUUUUUAAAUUUUUUAAAUAUUUUUUUACUUUUUGUAUCCACACUGGUCGUGUUUCAUAAGAUCAACAUCACUCUGUAGAACGCUCCAACUACGUUCACAAUGUCUCCCGUUUUCUCUAACCAGAGUCUGAUCUCACUGGCUCCUUUCACUUGUAUUCUCCACAUUUUAGGACAUUUUUUUCAGUUUUCAGGGUAACUUAAUGGAUGGAAUAUUCUGGAUCUAGAGUGGAUGAUGUCACAGCUAGAGUGACUUUUUAAGAUGAAAAUUUUCUAGACAAACUGCCGUUACUCAAACACUGUUUGUCACAUAGUCACAAUUUUUUUCACCCAAACGUAGGAAAAUGCCUCUGGAUUGGUAAAAUCUGACCCCCCUGUGGGGCAAACACAUUAGCCCCUAUAGCCCCUAGUCUCACACAAAGUUCACUCAGUUCUCCCAUCUGAGCAAAUCAAAAUGUGUGAUUGUGUCGUCAGCAGGGACCUGAUGACUAUCAAAGGCGAGGUGACUGAGGUACGUGCGUUUUGUUCCUGCAUUGUUAUGUAUUUUAGUAAGACUCACUGGUCCCCUCAGGGGAUGAUUGUAUGGCAAGCCAAAGAGACCAAAAGUCACCAGGAAAAGCAAGCACCGGAGUGUCACUUUUUAAAAAUAACAAUUAUUAUUUUAAAUAAUUAAACGAUCCCACAGUUAGUUUUGAUAAAAUAAUGAAUACCAAAAUAAAUUUUAACUUUUUAAAUUUAUGAUUUAAUAUGGAUAUUAGGGACGAGAACAUUUGUAUUCAAGGAACUCUAGAUAGAUUUGGUAUUUUCCACACUAUUUGUAAGCAUUCUUUCCUCUCAGUUUUUGUAGAUUUGGUUUAAAAACAUAAAUAUAAUCAGAAACUACAUGUUUUAGUAUGUUGUUUGUGUUCAAAGUUUAAAUGUUUUGUUUAACGAUUAGGCCUCAAUGACCAAAUGUUUGAUUAUAUAAAUAUUGUGUGUAAAGUACUUUAUAUGCUAUUGAAUAUAUAAUUUAAAGCAUUUCCAAACAUUUAUUUAGCUUUAAUUUUUAUUUUUUAACUUUUUACUGAUCAGAAAAAUGAUCCACACCGUGACCCUAAGACCGUGACACGUUCUGAAUCGUGAGUUUUGUGAUCUGUUACACCCAUACUUUUAAUACAUUUAAAAUAAAAACUUGAAAAAACAUAAAUAUUUGUUCAAAAUGUGUUUACUUCUCUCAACUAAAAUCAUUAUAAUUCCUAUUUUGUCAAUUUGAAUUUAUUUUAAAGAAAUCGUGAAAAAAUCGUGAUUUCCUUUUUUUUGUCACAUCGCCCAGCCCUACCAUGUUGCAUCCACCAAUCAGAAACAGCUUUGGGCAUGUGACGUUUGCAGUGGCUCGAUCAGCGGGUAGAAUACUAAUCCAAAGUGAGCGUUUUUGACGUGAACUUCUAUCUUUUUCAUUAACCUGUUGGAGCCGCAGGUUUGCAGAGCUCAUCCAGUUACUUUGGGGCAAAGGCGGGAUACACUCUGGACAGAUCGGCAGCUUCUAUCCAGAGACUACUCACUCUAUAUGAUAGACAGAAAGCUGAUGCGGGGUGGAGACACGAUUACUGAUGUUUUUGUAGAACUCUUCACUAUAAAUAAACCUGGUUUAUCUCUCAACAUCAUCUGUGUCUUCAUACAGACAGACACUGUUCCUUAGAGGACUCAUCCUAAAAUCAUUAGCUGGUAGCUCCUCCCACAGGCGGCUGCGGCAUCAAGCUCAGGAACAGAUUUUUUGACCACCAAAGAACAGCGAAUUCGUCACGCGAUGAAAGGGGGGCGGGGCAUGCAAAUUUGUCGUUUGAAUUGCGUUUGGUGUGAAUUCACCUUUACAGGCAACACCUAUAAUUCUACUUUGUGGACUUCUGUGGAUCUGUCACAAAUUAUGUUUAGAACGUAACCCGCAGGACAAAUGAGGGAACACUUCGUUGUGUUGAAUUUAAAAAAUGGGGAAACAACAUAUUUGAACUUUGAAUUUUGGGGCUUUGGCUUUGGUUUUAAACUAGUUGAUUUUUUAGUUUUUUUUUCCCCUAUUGCAUCCUUUUUUUUUACUAUAGUCUAAGUCCUUUUUUGACCAAUUAUACCUAAAAGGGUUAUACCUAAAAACUUUCUAUGAGAGAUAAAUUCCACAGAAAUAUUAAUAUAAAACCAAGUAUAACUCCAGUUUGUACCAAAAGUAUCUUAAUGUAGCUUCACAAACUACAAUUAAAAUUAUUUUAAUUCCUUUAAAAGAAUGUAGGAGAGGAAGAAAAACAAAAAGAAAAAA